GGUAGCGAAAUUCCUUGUCGGUUAAAUACCGACCUGCAUGAAUGGCGUAACGAGAUGGGAGCUGUCUCAAAGAGGGAUCCAGUGAAAUUGUAGUGGAGGUGAAAAUUCCUCCUACCCGCGGCAAGACGGAGAGACCCCGUGGACCUUUACUAUAGCUUGACACUGCUAUUUGGAUAAAAAUGUGCAGGAUAGGUGGGAGGCUUUGAGUAUAUGACGCCAGUUGUAUAUGAGCCAUUGUUGAGAUACCACUCUUUCUUAUUUGGGUAGCUAACCAGCUUGAGUUAUCCUCAAGUGGGACAAUGUCUGGUGGGUAGUUUGACUGGGGCGGUCGCCUCCCAAAUAAUAACGGAGGCUUACAAAGGUUGGCUCAGAACGGUUGGAAAUCGUUCGUAGAGUAUAAAGGUAUAAGCCAGCUUAACUGCAAGACAUACAAGUCAAGCAGAGACGAAAGUCGGUCUUAGUGAUCCGGUGGUUCUGUGUGGAAGGGCCAUCGCUCAAAGGAUAAAAGGU
rnacentral:rRNA from 1 species